UCUCAGAUGGAGUGAUGAUUAACUUGUUCUUACCUCUGUGCUAUGCUACAGUAUUUCUAUUAAAAUUGCUUUACAAGAUCAUAAUUUCCAAAUAAACUGAAGAGAUGAAGCCUCCAUUGUAGAAACAGAGAUUUCCCUAGAGUACCUGAUACUAGGUGGACCAGUACUGGAAGGCAAGCCAGUUAUCAGUCCAUGAGUGCCAUUUUACAGAAAUCUCUAAAAAUGGGACCAGAUCCUCAUCCCUGCUAACGUUGCUUUGUACAACUGAGGUGGCUCAAAGGGACCAAAACAGCCCCAAAGAGAGAACAAUUAGCGAAUUCACCAACAAGGGGGCAUCCUGACCUGAUGUAAUGCUAUGUAGCCAACUUUAUGCUGGCCCUUUCUUCCUCCCCAGUGGGAGGAAGACAUUCAAUUCAAUUCAAUUUCUUCCUCCCCAGUGGGGCUGGAGUGCUUGUGUUCCACUGAUCUCCAGCUGGUGGAAGAUGUCCCUGGGCUAUCUUCCUAGCCGCCAUAAGUUAGAGUAGUCUCAUGCCUACUGUAACUUGUGCUGGGGAAUAAUUUGGUCAACCCAGAAGUGGGAAGUUGUUGGAUCUACUAGAACUGGGGGGAGAGGAGGUUGUGCAGUCCCAGCUCCGCUCCAGCCAAAGGAACUUUGAUACCUAUGGUCAGAUUUCUCGUGACUUGUUGGAUAAGGACUAUGAAUGGGACACACUUCAGUGCCGUGCAAAGAUAAAGGUGCUGAGGCAGGCAUACCAGAAGACAAGGGAAGCAAACUGGCGCUCUGGUGCUGUGCUGAAGACCUGUCACUUCUAUAAGGAGCUGGACGCCAUCCUUGGUGGCUACACCCACCUCCACUGCCAGGAGCCCCACUGAUACUUUGGCAUGGCUGGAGGCACCAGGCAGUGGACUCAACCCCAAGGACAAAGUUUUGGACGAGGAAGUAGAGUUGGAAGACAAUGUGGAGCACACAGCAUUGUCAUCCAGUGGCACAUCGAGUCAGGACCUCUUUUCCACUCCAGAGGGAUGUAGCCAAUCCAAGCAGUACGUCUCUGGCACACAUGAUGCAGGAGAGGAGAAUCCUGGUGUGGCCUUCAGGGGAACCUGCUACAAACCGGAAGAGUUACUCCGACAGAUAAGGAAGUGACCAAGGUGGAGCAAGGAGGACAUGUUCUGAGAGAUGCUCCAAUCCUAAGAGGCCGAAAAAAGAGAACACAGGGAGUGGCGAGAGACCCCGAAGGAAAAAUGUAAUAUAUAAAAGUAGGAGAGAAAGGAGAGUGAGGAGCACAUUGUAAAGGGCCAGGAGCGGAUGACAGAAGUGACGGAGGAGCAAACAGAGAUGUUGAAGUCCCUAAUUAUGCUCCAGGCAGAACAUGUGUGCUCACCCCUCUUGCAGCCAAUAUAGAACUGUUUUCCAUGCCCUCCCCAAACUCCUCCCACACAUUCCUUGCAACUUCCCAGAAUGUCUCAGUACCCGAUUCACUCCACCCCUUCGGACAGCUUCCAAAAUGAUAAGUGGACUUACACACAGCUAUGAGAGCCUACAAUCUUA